AAAAUCCUGUGGUGUGCGUUAUCCCUCGGUUAUAAACCCACAGUAUAACGCCGGGAGCGUGUGUCAAUAGGCCGAUGUUGCUUUGAUUUUAUCUUAGUAAGCAAGAGCCGUUGCAGCGCACCCACCUGCCUUUGAGGCGGGUGUUAUGGCGAGGGACGGACGGCACUCUGGGAUUUCC
rnacentral:other from 1 species